rnacentral:lncRNA from 10 species
GCCCAUGAGUUUAUCCUCCUCCCAAGUCCCUCAGUGACUGUGAUGGUCUCCAGACUGGGAAGUCCUUGCUUGAGGAGCGCCCCUCGCCUUCCGAGUUCACACACACCCCUCCCCAGGGCCACCUUGGGAGCCAGGACACGUUGGGUGUGAGCACUGCUGCUCUUGCUCCUGCCCCAUCCCACCUGAGUGUCACUGUGACAAAGGGCACAGCGGGGAAGGGAUGUGGGAACGGCUUCCACCCCGGGUUGCCUCUGGAGCUGGGUGGGUGUCAGUCCUCACAGCCAUUGUUUUCCCUCUGCUUCCAGUGGAGUCUCCACCACCAUCGACCCCUUCUGGGACAUCAGCUUGGAUCUCCCCGGCUCUUCCACCCCAUUCUGGCCCCUGAGCCCAGGGAGCGAGGGCAACGUGGUAAACGGGGAAAGCCACGUGUCGGGAACCACCACGCUCACGGACUGCCUGCGACGAUUCACCAGACCAGAGCACUUGGGCAGCAGCGCCAAGAUCAAGUGCAGCGGUUGCCAUAGCUACCAGGAGUCCACAAAGCAGCUCACUAUGAAGAAACUGCCCAUCGUAGCCUGUUUUCAUCUCAAACGAUUUGAACACUCAGCCAAGCUGCGGCGGAAGAUCACCACGUAUGUGUCCUUCCCCCUGGAGCUGGACAUGACCCCUUUCAUGGCCUCCAGGUAUGUGGGGUUGUAGGCCCGUUCUGUGUCCUGAGGGGCUGUGAUCCUAUCAGGACAGGAAUCCAGCUCGGAGCUCCUAUUAAGAUGACUGUUGGCCGGGUGCAGUGGCUCCCGCCUGUAAUCCCAGCACUUCAGGAGGUCGAAGCGGGCAGAUCAUGAGGUCAACAGAUUGAGACCAUCAUGGCCAACAUGGUGAAACCCCGUCUCUACUAAAAAUACAAAAAUUAGCUGGGUGUGGUGGCAGGCACCUGUAGUCCCAGCUAUUUGGGAGGCUGAGGCAGGAGAAUCGCUUGAACCCAGGAGGUGGAGGUUGCAGUGAGCCAAGAUCGCGCCACUGCACUCCAGCCUGGUGACAGAACGAGACUACGUCUAAAAAAAAAAAAAAAAA